UAAGAAUCUCUGCUCUAGGUCUGUGGAUAGAGAUAAUUGAGUUUAUCACCAACUUCCUGGUAAUGUUCCUUCUUCUCAUUUUCUAACCUGUUCCCUUGUUAUAGUCUGACUCUUCUGCGAUUAGUGAGAAUCUGGCAGAGUGCAGGGGAGUAAAACCAAGCUAGACUUGAAAUGGAAUGAACAAUAUGAAGAAUCUAUCCUGAGUGCAUCUGCAUUAACUUAACUAGAAAACCUCAAAGAGUCCUGUGGCCCAAGUCUGCUGCAGCGGUCAAAGAACAGUGCAGCAAAGAAGAUCCCUAGGAGGUAACUGCAAAACUCAGCUGAAGUCUGGGCCAUUCUGUGGGUGAGAAUUGGGGUUCGGUCUUUUCCUGGGAAGCAUCAAAUCCUGGGCUCAGAACUUAAAAGGUCCACUAAAGGGUUUGCUGGAGGGACAGGACAUGGGGUCCUCUACCUUUAAAAGAAGCCCACUCCCCUGCUCUUGUGUCUUCACCCCUGAUUAGGCCUGAAUCUGAAGCACUUACAUGGAUUAAUGGAAUGAGCAAUGUCCUGUGAAUCAAGAGACCUAUAUUUGAGCAACAGCUUUCACCAAAUGCUGUAUGCCUUGGGCAGGUCACUGACCCACUCCUGGGCUUCAGUUUCUCCAUUUAGACAAUAAAGAGGAAUUGGCUUGCUUCACAGUUUCACCAAAGAAUGACUAUUAUUAUAGUGAAACUCCAUUAUAAUAUCUCAUUAUUGGUCAUUUCCUUGCAUUUAUUCCUCAUUUUGAGACAUCCUUGUUAUAUUUCAAGCAAAACAGCAAUGAAUCCCAUGCCUAGGAAGUGUGUGAUUAUAAACUUAAAUCCCAAUCUUUAGGACCCUCAUGGUUCUAACAUUUUAUGAUUUUUUUUUUCUGCUGUGAUGUUACUUUCUUUUUAACUGUUGUUUUGAACUUAAAACUUAGGGAAUGAAAUUAAUGUUGAUGACCACGGACUAUUUUCCAGGUACUGUGCUAGUUUCAUUUAUUACAAGCAAGGUAGAUUUUGGUAUCCUUGUGUUAUAGGUUAGAAAACUGAGGUUCAGAGAUGUCACCUUUCUAAUACCACUCAGUUAGCAAGCGGACGGUUAGGACUUAAACUCGGGUCUGUCCUACUACAAGGCCUGUGGCUUGAAAAAUUAUUUUUAUGCUAUAAUUCUUUAUUAUUUUAACUUUCUUAAAAUUAAUUCAUUUAUUCAAUAUUUAUUGAGUAUCUGCUGUGUAAGGUACUGUGCCAGACGCUAUGGGUUUGGAGAUGAGAAAUCAGUCCCUGUUCUUGAGCAGCCUUUAGAGAAGACAUGUAAAUAAAAGUUGCAAGUUAGGGCAAUGACACUAUGGCAGGGGAAAUAAGGGAAGUCAGGGUGCAAAAAGUGGGAUUUAAUAUUGGAGACACCCUGGAAGCUUCUCAGAAUAGGAAACACCUGAGCUGAAUUGAGGGGGUAAGAUUGUCUUUUUUUUUUUUCCUGAGAUAACUCUUUAUUAAACAAGUUAGUCAACAAUUAAUUGAGAAUCUAUGAUGUACCAGAUACUUUUCUAGUUUCAGGAAUACAAUUGCAUACAACGACAAACUCUUAUAGAGCUCACAAGGGAAGAAAGGCAGUAAACCAACCAACAAAUACAGUAUAAGAUUGAAAUCCAGGUGACUGGAAAAGUAAGACUUGGCCAGGUAAAGAGAGUUGAAUGGCAUGAAACAGCAUCCUGAAUAAAGGCAGAGGCAUGUGCAAGCAUGCUGAGGCAUGAUGAUCCCUUUGAAGAUGUUUGUCACGGCUGGAAUAUCUUCUAAAAGAUAAAGAAGGAAGCAAGAGAAAAAUGCAAGCACAGAUCAUGAGUGCCUUGUGUGAUGUUAUGAGUAUGAACUUUCUCCUGCAGAUAAUGGGAAGCCAGGGGAGGGUUUUAAGAGACAGAGGCACAAUGCUCAAAUUUGGUUCCAGGGUGAUUUCUCCUGUGGCCCUGGUGAAGUGGGAUUUGAAGGGGACCCAGACUGCAGACAGGAAGAAUGGUCCUGGUCCAGGGAGAAUGGCCAGGAUUAUCUCAGGAUUUCAUGAAGAGGAGAAAUGGAGGUCAUUUCCUAGAGAUUAAUGGAUAAUUUGAUUGUGAGAAGAAAAUUGUUUAAGGAGCAGGGGUGGGUAUGGAGGCAAAUGUCACACACUCCAGAAGGUAAAGUGACCUGGCUCUUCCCCUCUCACUCCUUGGAAAGAAGGAAAGCUCAUCAGAGCCAGGACCCUGGAAAAGUGAUGUGAUGAAGAGAAGGAGGCCCUGAAUACCACCAUCUGAAGGCAUUUCCAAGGAAGCCAGGGAUGUGACUCUGUCUCGGUUGCAGAGAUCAAAAGGUUUUGUGAAGGAAGCAAUGGCUCUCUAGCCCCCUUCUGGGUGGAUUCUGGGGUAGAAGGAUCCGGUUCCUUUGAUAACUGGUUAGUUAUAGCUAUAGGGUGAAGCCAAUUGAGUAACAUUGGUCUGGGCUUCCAGAGACACAAGGUCUUCUUGAACCAUAAGCUCUCAGAACAAUGCCCCACCUAGGCAGAGCAGAGAACCCUGAACCUUUUGCCUGGAGAGAACAAAGAAGCGCACAGCUCAGGAGCCACCAGACCUGGGACUACCCAUUGGACCCCUAAUCUCCACUGUUCUUGGCCUGUCUCUCUUUCCCAUUAGAUUGUGAGCUCUUUGAGAACAGAGACUACCUCUUCUCCAUCCUUGUUUCCCUAGCCUAGUACACCAUCAAAUAAUGCUGUGGAAAGAAAAAGUAAAGGAAUAAAUAAAUAACCCUUAGAUAAGUGGGUCAUCCACCAAUCCUCAAUUCCUGAUUAGUAAAAUGAGAAUAACAAUAGCUACUAACAAGAGUAUUGUGUAGACUGUAUGACUUAAUGAAUGUGAAAGCACCCGUAUGGAGUUUAACAUAAAAUAGAUAAUAAAAAAUACAUUAUCCUC
rnacentral:lncRNA from 1 species